GAUGAACGCUGGCGGCGUGCCUAAUACAUGCAAGUCGAGCGAACGGACGAGAAGCUUGCUUCUCUGAUGUUAGCGGCGGACGGGUGAGUAACACGUGGAUAACCUACCUAUAAGACUGGGAUAACUUCGGGAAACCGGAGCUAAUACCGGAUGAUAUUUUGAACCGCAUGGUUCAAAAGUGAAAGACGGUCUUGCUGUCACUUAUAGAUGGAUCCGCGCUGCAUUAGCUAGUUGGUAAGGUAACGGCUUACCAAGGCAACGAUGCAUAGCCGACCUGAGAGGGGGAUCAGCCACACUGUAACUGAGACACGGUGCCCACUCCUCCGGGGGGCAGCAGUAGGGAAUCUUCUGCGAUAGGCGAAAACCCGCCGGCGCAACGCCGCGCGAGUGAUGAAGGUGUUCUGGGCGUGAAACUCUGUUAUUAUUGGAGAACAUAUUUGUGAGAAACUGUGCGCAUCUUUUCGCCGCCCCAUCAGAAAACCCCCGCUCACUACGUG
rnacentral:rRNA from 1 species